rnacentral:misc_RNA from 1 species
GAUGAAGACGUAGCGAAAUGCGAUAAGUAAUGUGAAUUGCAGAAUUCAGUGAAUCAUCGAAUCUUUGAACGCACAUUGCGCCCGCCAGUAUUCUGGCGGGCAUGCCUGUUCGAGCGUCAUUACAACCCUCAGGCCCCCGGGCCUGGCGUUGGGGAUCGGCGGAGCCCCCCGUGGGCACACGCCGUCCCCCAAAUGCAGUGGCGGUCCCGCCGCAGCUUCCAUCGCGUAGUAGCUAACACCUCGCGACUGAAGAGCGGCGCGGCCACGCCGUAAAACACCCAACUCUUCUGAAGUUGACCUCGAAUCAGGUAGGAAUACCCGCUGAACUUAAGCAUAUCAAUAAGCGGAGGA